rnacentral:rRNA from 1 species
AAAUUGAAGAGUUUGAUCAUGGCUCAGAUUGAACGCUGGCGGCAGGCCUAACACAUGCAAGUCGAACGGUAACAGGAAGCAGCUUGCUGCUUUGCUGACGAGUGGCGGACGGGUGAGUAAUGUCUGGGAAACUGCCUGAUGGAGGGGGAUAACUACUGGAAACGGUAGCUAAUACCGCAUAACGUCGCAAGACCAAAGAGGGGGACCUUCGGGCCUCUUGCCAUCGGAUGUGCCCAGAUGGGAUUAGCUAGUAGGUGGGGUAACGGCUCACCUAGGCGACGAUCCCUAGCUGGUCUGAGAGGAUGACCAGCCACACUGGAACUGAGACACGGUCCAGACUCCUACGGGAGGCAGCAGUGGGGAAUAUUGCACAAUGGGCGCAAGCCUGAUGCAGCCAUGCCGCGUGUAUGAAGAAGGCCUUCGGGUUGUAAAGUACUUUCAGCGGGGAGGAAGGUGUUGAGGUUAAUAACCUCAGC